CCCGCUGAACUUAAGCAUAUCAAUAAGCGGAGGAAAAGAAACUAACAAGGAUUCCCUCAGUAACGGCGAGUGAAGCGGGAAGAGCUCAAAUUUAAAAUCUGGCUUACUUGUAAGUCCGAGUUGUAGUCUGAAGAAACGUUUUCCAUAAGCACUGAGGCACAAGUCCCUUGGAACAGGGCAUCAUAGAGGGUGAGAAUCCCGUCCAUGGUCUCAAGUUGCUUAUUUUGUGAUACGUUUUCAAAGAGUCAGGUUGUUUGGGAAUGCAGCCUAAAAUGGGUGGUAAAUUUCAUCUAAAGCUAAAUAUUGGCGAGAGACCGAUAGCGAACAAGUACCGUGAGGGAAAGAUGAAAAGAACUUUGGAAAGAGAGUUAAACAGUACGUGAAAUUGCUGAAAGGGAAACGCUUGAAGUCAGUCACGUCGGCUAGAAAUCAGCCUUGCUUCUGCUUGGUGUACUUUCUGGUGGACGGGUCAGCAUCAAUUUUGACCAUUGGAUAAAGUCUCUGGGAAUGUGGCAUCCUUUUUGGAUGUGUUAUAGCCCUUUGUCGCAUGCAGUGGUUGGGAUUGAGGAACUCAGCACGCUCCGCGAGGGGCCAGGUUUCGACCAUGUUCGUGCUUAGGAUGCUGGCAUAAUGGCUUCAAUCGACCCGUCUUGAAACACGG
rnacentral:rRNA from 1 species